AGCUAAGACGCCUUCGCUGUUGGAAUGUGUCAGCACGCAUGCGCUGGAGCCUCACGGGCUGUUUUCUCGUAGAGCCGCACACUUUGAGAGGAAUGUCUUUAUUUAAGCUGUGACCUGGCCAAGCCACCAAGAUCAAGCCCUGCAGUUUGGCUGGCGUGCUGGGGCUGUCAUGUGAUAUCCGUUGACUCAGAGACUGUUGGGCAAUCAAUAGCUGCUAAAUCAGUCCUGCUGAAUGAAACUCCAGUGUAAAGCUACUGACAUCAACACUCAAGUGACAUCCCCCCGGGGUAGUGAUGCUCCACCAUGAUGGUCACACACCAGCGCAGCAGCAAACGAAAAUGGAAGGCAGACAGCAUACAGUCAAACGGAUACAGUCCUGUGAUUGCCUUCUGAUCUUCUUUGGGAUGUACAGAGGAGGAGACACAGCAAGGUUUUCGGUGCCUCCUGGACCAGAAAGUGUGGACUUCCAGUG
rnacentral:lncRNA from 1 species